CAGUCGCCGCGGUAAUACGUAGGGUGCAAGCGUUAAUCGGAAUUACUGGGCGUAAUGCGUGCGCAGGCGGUUAUAUAAGUCAGAUGUGAAAUCCCCGGGCUCAACCUGGGAACUGCAUUUGAGACUGUAUGGCUAGAGUGUGUCAGAGGGGGGUAGAAUUCCACGUGUAGCAGUGAAAUGCGUAGAUAUGUGGAGGAAUACCGAUGGCGAAGGCAGCCCCCUGGGAUAACACUGACGCUCAUGCACGAAAGCGUGGGGAGCAAACAGGAUUAGAUACCCCAGUAGUCCCUGUCUCUUAUAC
rnacentral:rRNA from 1 species